rnacentral:rRNA from 1 species
GAUUUUUUCUUAUUAAAAAAUUAUAAUAAAAAUAUUUUGUAUUAAGUAGAAAAAGAAUUAUUUAAAAUAUUAUAGCUAAAAGUACUGUAAAGGAAAGUGUGAAAAUGAGAAUCUUAGAGUAGAAUUAUUUAGUACCUUGUGUAUCAGGGAUGAAUUAAAUUAUUUUAAUUAUUUAGUGUUCUCGAAUUUUGAAGGGUAAAUAGGGUAUAAAAAGUUAUUGUGUUAAAUAUAUUUUUAAUGUUCUAUUGGGUAUGAAAAAUAAUACGUUUCAAAAUUUAUCUAGUUUCUUAAGAAAUAAAUUUAAUUUAGUUAAUGAAAGUAGAUUAUCAAUUCAUGAUUGUCUUUUUUCAUUAAAAAAUUACAAAAUGGAUGAGCUUUUUGUAAUAUUCAGUAGAUCUAUAAAUUAAUAUAAAAAUUUAUUUAAAAAAUAGUCUUUAAAUUAGAUAUUUUAGGAAGUAUGUUAUAAAUUAUUAAUUGUAUUAAUAAUAUUUAUUUGAUUUUAGAAUUUUAUUAAGAUGAGUAAUUAAAUAAAAAAAUUAUUGAAAUAAUGUUUGUAUUAGUAGAAUAAAGUGUAAUUAUAUAUUAAGGUAUAUGAAUUGGAUUUUAUAUGAGGAAUUUUUAUAAAGGAAUUCGGCAAUUAUCAUUUCCGAAAGUUUAACAAAAACAUUUUCUAAAGUUUUAUAUUUUAGGUAAUACCUGCCCGGUGAAUUUUUUAACGGCCGCGGUAAUUUGACCGUGCUAAGGUAGCAUAAUCAUUUGUCUUUUAAUUGAAGACUGGAAUGAAAGGUAAAACGAGAAAUGAGCUGUCUUUAUAAAAUAAAUUGAAUUUUAUUUUUUAGUGAAAAAGCUAAAAUAUAUUUGUGGGACGAUAAGACCCUAUAGAUCUUUAUUAGAAGUUUUAUUUUAAUGUAAAAAUAUAAUUUUAUUGGGGCGAUAAGAAGAAAAGUGUAUCUCUUUAAUUAUAAAAAUAUUUAUGGAUAAAUAUAUUUUUGAUCCUAAAAGUUGGAUUAUUAGAAUAAGUUACCUUAGGGAUAACAGCGUAAUAUUUUUUGAGAGUUCUUAUCGAAAAAAAUGUUUGCGACCUCGAUGUUGGAUUAAGAUAUUAUUAUGGUGCAGAGUUUAUAAUCAUUAGUCUGUUCGACUAUUAAAAUCUUACAUGAUCUGAGUUCAGACCGGUGUGAGCCAGGUUGGUUUCUAUCUACAAGUUAGUUUAAGGAAAUAGUUAGUACGAAAGGAAUUCUAUUUUGGAAAAUUUUUAUACUUUUGAAAAAAUAUAAAUACUAAUUUUAUUUUGAUAAUAAAUUUAUUUAUUAAUUAGUAAUU